rnacentral:ncRNA from 1 species
AUAGGUCGAGCAUAAAGACAUAUAAACAAAUGCACAUUCGGCGCAAACUGUAAAGCGCAGUUAUAAAUAACAGAUAUAAAGAAUGUAAAGGAGAGGCG